rnacentral:rRNA from 1 species
GACGAACGCUGGCGGCGUGCUUAACACAUGCAAGUCGAACGGAAAGACCCUGCUUUUGUGGGGUGCUCGAGUGGCGAACGGGUGAGUAACACGUGAGUAACCUGCCCUUGACUUUGGGAUAACUUCAGGAAACUGGGGCUAAUACCGGAUAGGAGCUCCUGCUGCAUGGUGGGGGUUGGAAAGUUUCGGCGGUUGGGGAUGGACUCGCGGCUUAUCAGCUUGUUGGUGGGGUAGUGGCUUACUAAGGCUUUGACGGGUAGCCGGCCUGAGAGGGUGACCGGCCACAUUGGGACUGAGAUACGGCCCAGACUCCUACGGGAGGCAGCAGUGGGGAAUAUUGCACAAUGGGCGGAAGCCUGAUGCAGCAACGCCGCGUGCGGGAUGACGGCCUUCGGGUUGUAAACCGCUUUCGCCUGUGACGAAGCGUGAGUGACGGUAAUGGGUAAAGAAGCACCGGCUAACUACGUG